rnacentral:rRNA from 1 species
CCUUCGGGGUGCUGACGAGUGGCGGACGGGUGAGUAACGCGUAGGAAUCUACCCAUCAGUGGGGGAUAGCCCGGAGAAAUCCGGAUUAAUACCGCAUACGCCCUACGGGGCAAAGCGGGGGAUCGAAAGACCUCGCGCUGGUGGAGGAGCCUACGUCCGAUUAGCUAGUUGGUGGGGUAAAAGCCUACCAAGGCAACGAUCGGUAGCUGGUCUGAGAGGACGACCAGCCACACUGGGACUGAGACACGGCCCAGACUCCUACGGGAGGCAGCAGUGGGGAAUAUUGGACAAUGGGGGAAACCCUGAUCCAGCAAUGCCGCGUGGGUGAUGAAGGCCUUCGGGUUGUAAAGUCCUUUCGUGGGGGACGAAAAGGCGGGUCCUAAUACGAUCUGCUGUUGACGUGAACCCAAGAAGAAGCACCGGCUAACUCCGUGCCAGCAGCCGCGGUAAUACGGGGGGUGCAAGCGUUAAUCGGAAUCACUGGGCGUAAAGGGUGCGUAGGCGGUACGUUAGGUCUGUCGUGAAAUCCCCGGGCUCAGCCUGGGAAUGGCGGUAGAAACCGGCGCACUAGAGUAUGGGAGAGGGUGGUGGAAUUCCAGGUGUAGCGGUGAAAUGCGUA